rnacentral:lncRNA from 1 species
GGCGCCUCAGCCGGAGUGCGCCGCUUCGCGCGCGCCUGAGGGUGCUAUGGCGUAGCCACUCGUCGGAAGGAGCCCGGCCGAGGGGCGCUGGAGGGCCCUCGCCCGUGCUGUUCGGCUGUUCCAGUGCUUCAACUGAAGGAAUUUUAUUCGAAGAACAACAUGGUACCUUCUCCCUUCUUUUCUGUGGAUGUUUUGUUGAUGGUGGUGCCCGAGGUAUAAAAAUGAGAUUCUAGUCGAACUGUGAUUCCUAACAAUGCUAAAACCGGGUGUAAUCUUGUUAUUUCUUAAUAUUCUUUUCCCCGGUUGUUCUUGCUUAAUGAAUGUGGGAUGCAUCUCUCUAUCCUACAAAAGUCUACAGCACAAAUCUGAUUAAUUUUACAAGUUCGGUACCACAAUGCGAAUAACCGUCAUACAAAGGCUAUUUGACAAACACAGCAAAAGGCAAGCACAAUUAAUCCAAGCAAAAUCAAGCAGAUUGCAAACCGGAAUGAUACAAAAUCAAGUAGCUAUCUUGAUUCUUGACACGUGCGGAGACACACAGAGCAAACAAUUCUCUGAAAAGUAGUCACGGAAAGAAAACCCCACACUUCUAAUCCUUUUCCACCCAUUCCUAUUUAAACUUGCACAUUAGCAUCCAUCAUCUGCCGUGCAACACCCAUGAUGUUUGAAAGGGGUUGGUAAUUAGCCAUGUCCCCUGCACUGCCGGUAAGGAGCAUACCUAGUUCCAGGUCUCUCAUAUCCUCCAAGGCACCUUGCAGUUUUGAGCUAGUGUUCUUGUUCUGGAAUACUGUAAUGCAGUCUGGCUUGCUUUGCAUCAUCCAUGUACAUAACUUUGUCACUGUCUUGAUUAUUAUCAGAUACUCAAUUGAGGGACCCUUCCCUUCCAAGCUAUCAACAGAGUGGCCCUUGCACUGUUCUAUUAUAUGAUUCAGUUUAUCCACAAAGUCAUCCAUGGAAAGAGGAAUGAGCGCAAGUGCAUCAUCAAAAUCAUCUGGACUUAUCUCCAGUUUGUCACAUAUCUCCAAUGUAAGGCCUAAGAAGGCUGCCAGGGAUUUUCUUCUAGCACCUACAAGCUGAGUAACAGCCGGCAAAUUGUCAUUGGGAUUGUUUCGGUUAGCAGCGUGAGAGUGGUGAGCCCCGAGAAAACUGUUCAAGCGAUAAAAUGCCCGAGAAAAUGGGGGCCGGCCCCGGUUGUCCUGUGGAGAACCUGUCUGAUUUGCAUUUGCUGCUUGUUGCUGCCCAAGGUUGUGCUGUGGAGAACCCACCUGAUUUGUGUUUGCUGCUUGUUGCUGGCCCGGGUUAUGCUGGGGAGAACCCGCCUGAUUUGUGUUUGCUGCUUGUUGCUGGCCUGAGUUAUGCUGUGGGGAACCUGCCUGAUUUGUGUUUGCUGCUUGUUGCAGGACCGGGUUAUGCUGGGGAGAACCCGCCUGAUUUGUGUUUGCUGCUUGUUGCUGGCCUAAGUUGUGCUGUGGAGAACCCACCUGAUUUGUAUUUUCUGCUUGUUCAACAUUGCAUAUAACUUUGAGCACCUGCCAUGCCAAAAAACAAUUUAGUAAAGAAGAAACCUCUUAUUCUAAGAACAAGGGUGCAUGUGCGAUAUUUCAACAGCAAUGUUACAUCAAGUAAAAGGAAAAAUGGUCGUGCAUAUUCUACUCAUGAUGUGUACUAAUUAAAAACCAAGGUAUGAUAAUAUUCAUUAGUCAUUACUUUUUCCGAUAAACAAAAUUGUUAAGGCUCAUGCCUUUUUAUUGGAAUUUCUGCUAUGGAGUACGCAUGGUCCCAACGAACUUUUGUGGUCUGUUUGGCAUGCAUCAGUCCAAAACACGAGAAGAAAACAAAACCUUUUUUUGGGUUCCAGUUGACGUUUGGAAAUUCGAUUGUAGCAAACAGGUCCGUGGUGGCACACUACAAUGAAGAUGAGGACUGCGAAUUUUUGUGUCAGAUCAAACUUAGAUACUACAUCAACCUAGUUCGAGAUAAAGUCUACUGGACUGUUGGAUAUAAGUUCACAAAUUUAUGUUAUGUUUCACCACGCAUGUUAUUAUAUCCUCUAUCUGAAAAAUGUGAUGCAGAUGACAAAGAAUGAGAUAUAAUAAAUAAGUGACUUCACCAUUCCGAACUGCUCUUUCGUAUCUGUGAAGCGUAGAGUACUAAUAGAUUAUUGGAAAAAUAAUACGGAAAUCUAUAUGCACUCUUACCUCAUGUAGAUUUGUUUUGACUGAUGCGAGAUACUCCUCCCUUUCUGCAGGAUUAGAAUUUGCACAAAGUUGCAUCAGCAGUUGUGCUAUGGGAGUUUGAUAUAAUCUGGGGUUUACUGCAUUAAUCAUAUCUGUGAGCAGCUG